CUACUACUCCCUCCGUCCGAAAAUACUUGUCAUUGAAAUGGAUGUAUCUGGAUGUAUUUUAGUUCUAGACACAUCCAUUUUGAUGACAUGUAAUUCCGGACGGACGGAGUAUUAU
rnacentral:pre_miRNA from 1 species